AUGAACGCAAAGAUGUUCCGUGAUGUCUCGCACGCCUCCUUUGUAACCAUCUCGAACGUUGUAGCGGACUUUGAUCUUUGGCAGCAAUACCUCUCCUUGCGCCUGACACUUGACAUAUUCAGGUGGAAAUCCUCUACCCCAAUGGUGAUUGAAGAAAACUGUGAUUCUCUUGUGCCAGUUUGUAGGUGGAACUCAUCGCGACCCAGGAAUUUUGAUGUUUCGGCAAGUGAGGAACUGAAUCAUAGAGUAUAA
rnacentral:rRNA from 1 species